GGAGGAAAGCAGGGGAUCGUAAGACCUUGCGCUUUUGGAGUGGCCGAUGCCUGAUUAGCUAGUUGGUGGGGUAAGAGCCUACCAAGGCGACGAUCAGUAGUUGGUCUGAGAGGACGACCAGCCACACUGGGACUGAGACACGGCCCAGACUCCUACGGGAGGCAGCAGUGGGGAAUUUUGGACAAUGGGCGGAAGCCUGAUCCAGCAAUGCCGCGUGAGUGAAGAAGGCCUUCGGGUUGUAAAGCUCUUUCAGUCGAGAAGAAAAGGUUGCGACUAAUAAUCGCAACUUAUGACGGUAUCGACAGAAGAAGCACCGGCUAACUACGUGCCAGCAGCCGCGGUAAUACGUAGGGUGCGAGCGUUAAUCGGAAUUACUGGGCGUAAAGGGUGCGCAGGCGGCUCUGUAAGUCAGAUGUGAAAUCCCCGGGCUUAACCUGGGAA
rnacentral:rRNA from 1 species